CGGCCUUCUGCACACAAGUUACGCUCUAGUGCUUCUCUCAUCAAUCAUCUGUGCACAUAAUCUAAGGUCACCUACCAGUCGGAACCCCUCUAACGGUCUGUACGACUGGCAUGUCGGAACCACCCCCGGUGGUCUGUACGACUAGCAUCUACUUGGAUCCAAGGCGAGCGUGCGAUGCGGUGAAUACUAUAAGCACUAAACUAUGGUGCAGGAUUUGAGCUCAAUAUAUAUCAUCAUCAUCAUAACAGUAAUUAAAUACUCAUCUGUGCGUCCACCGCACCAUUUCAUACAUAUGCAUCAUAAAUCAAUUCUUACCUGUGCGUCCACCGCACCAAUUCAUACAUAUUCAUCAUAAAUCAAUUCUUACCUGUGCGUCCACCGCACCAAUUCAUACAUAUGCAUCAUAAAUCAAUUCUUACAUGUGCGUUCACCGCACCAAUUCAUACAUAUGCAUCAUAUAUUAAUUCAUGCAUGGCAUUUCAACUCACAUUUCUAUAUACUUUUCAUAUCAAUUCUAUGCAUGGUAUUUCAUUUCCCGUUUUUCCACAUAACUCAUAUGCAUUUCAUUUUAAACAUAUUUUCAUUUCAAUUCAAUUUCUGGGAAACGUCAAGUAUAUAUAUAUACGGAAAACAAAACUGCCCACUCACAGAAUACAUCGACGUGUCGUAGGUCCCUGAGCCUCC
rnacentral:lncRNA from 1 species